rnacentral:rRNA from 1 species
CGGCCGCGGUAUCCUGACCGUGCGAAGGUAGCAUAAUCAUUUGUUCUUUAAAUAGGGACUAGUAUCAACGGCAUCACGAGGGUUAUACUGUCUCCUCUCUCCAAUCAGUGAAACUGAUCUCCCCGUGAAGAAGCGGGGAUGAAUCUAUAAGACGAGAAGACCCCAUGGAGCUUUAAACUCAACAACAACCUCCUCUAAAUAUUCUACACAAUUAUGGAAGUUCUGUUUGUUAGUUUUGGGUUGGGGUGACCGCGGAGAAAAAUUAAACCUCCACGACGAAUGGAAUUAACUCCUAAUCUAAGAGCCACCGCUCUAAGAAUCAAUAAAUUGACAUAACAUGAUCCGAUAGUCGAUCAACGGACCAAGUUACCCUGGGGAUAACAGCGCAAUCCAUUUCAAGAGCUCCUAUCGACAAAUGGGUUUACGACCUCGAUGUUGGAUCAGGGUAUCCCAGUGGUGCAGCCGCU